CUGGAACACUUUUGCAAAGACAGACGCGGUUCCUCCUACUUCAGAGCAAGUCUGGGCCAGCUGGGAUCCGACCAGAAACCGCAAGCGGAGGAGACGCAGGAGCGCAGGCUGAGCGCUAACUGAAGGCGCGACCUGAGCCCGGCGCCUGCUGGGGAGCUGCGCAGCCAGGACAGCGGUCGGCAGCACAGGGCCUGGGCGCAGGGCCCGCCGUCACCACCUCACGUCGGGAGCCAGCACUGCUGCCCGCCAGCCCUGCCGCCUGCCCUCGGACUUCCCAGGGCGCCCAGGGUCCUCCCAACACGCCUGCACCCACACCCGCCCCUGAGCCACAGUGACCUUGCAUUCCCCGCCCCCUGCCACACCUCCUGCGUGCCCGAGUGUCACCCUUAAAUACCGCUCUACACCCAGAGAGUGACGAAUACACCUCUGAAGACAGGGCAAGACUAAUUUCAAUGGGUCAGAAGGUUCUUGCAGGCACUGUUUUAUUUAAGAGUGCCUAUUUACUGGCAGGAGUAUUUGUGUGGGAGGAAGUAGGCUAAGACUGCUGUUGAACUUGAAGCUAAACUUGAAUGCCAUUUAAAAUAACAAUAAAAAUACACUUAAAACACCAAUCACAAUGAUAU
rnacentral:lncRNA from 1 species